ACGGAAGGCAGCAGUGGGGAAUAUUGCACAAUGGGCGCAAGCCUGAUGCAGCAACGCCGCGUGAGUGAAGAAGGUCUUCGGAUCGUAAAGCUCUGUCCUAAGGGAAGAAGAAGUGACGGUACCUUAGGAGGAAGCCCCGGCUAACUACGUGCCAGCAGCCGCGGUAAUACGUAGGGGGCGAGCGUUAUCCGGAAUUAUUGGGCGUAAAGAGUACGUAGGUGGUUUUGUAAGCGUGAGGUGAAAGCCUGCAGCUUAACUGCAGCGAGCCUCAUGAACUGCAAGACUUGAGUGCAGGAGGGGUAAGUGGAACUCCAUGUGUAGCGGUGAAAUGCGUAGAUAUCAGGAAGAACACCGGCGGCGAAGGCGGCUUUCUGGACUAAAACUGACGCUGAGGCACGAAAGCGUGGGGAGCAAACAGGAUUAGAUACCCUGGUA
rnacentral:rRNA from 1 species